rnacentral:rRNA from 1 species
AGCCCAGAGCCUGAAUCAGUGUGUGUGUUAGUGGAAGCGUCUGGAAAGGCGCGCGAUACAGGGUGACAGCCCCGUACACAAAAAUGCACAUACUGUGAGCUCGAUGAGUAGGGCGGGACACGUGGUAUCCUGUCUGAAUAUGGGGGGACCAUCCUCCAAGGCUAAAUACUCCUGACUGACCGAUAGUGAACCAGUACCGUGAGGGAAAGGCGAAAAGAACCCCGGCGAGGGGAGUGAAAAAGAACCUGAAACCGUGUACGUACAAGCAGUGGGAGCCUCUUUUAUGGGGUGACUGCGUACCUUUUGUAUAAUGGGUCAGCGACUUAUAUUCUGUAGCAAGGUUAACCGAAUAGGGGAGCCGAAGGGAAACCGAGUCUUAACUGGGCGUUAAGUUGCAGGGUAUAGACCCGAAACCCGGUGAUCUAGCCAUGGGCAGGUUGAAGGUUGGGUAACACUAACUGGAGGACCGAACCGACUAAUGUUGAAAAAUUAGCGGAUGACUUGUGGCUGGGGGUGAAAGGCCAAUCAAACCGGGAGAUAGCUGGUUCUCCCCGAAAGCUAUUUAGGUAGCGCCUCGUGAAUUCAUCUCCGGGGGUAGAGCACUGUUUCGGCAAGGGGGUCAUCCCGACUUACCAACCCGAUGCAAACUGCGAAUACCGGAGAAUGUUAUCACGGGAGACACACGGCGGGUGCUAACGUCCGUCGUGAAGAGGGAAACAACCCAGACCGCCAGCUAAGGUCCCAAAGUCAUGGUUAAGUGGGAAACGAUGUGGGAAGGCCCAGACAGCCAGGAUGUUGGCUUAGAAGCAGCCAUCAUUUAAAGAAAGCGUAAUAGCUCACUGGUCGAGUCGGCCUGCGCGGAAGAUGUAACGGGGCUAAACCAUGCACCGAAGCUGCGGCAGCGACACUAUGUGUUGUUGGGUAGGGGAGCGUUCUGUAAGCCUGCGAAGGUGUACUGUGAGGUAUGCUGGAGGUAUCAGAAGUGCGAAUGCUGACAUAAGUAACGAUAAAGCGGGUGAAAAGCCCGCUCGCCGGAAGACCAAGGGUUCCUGUCCAACGUUAAUCGGGGCAGGGUGAGUCGACCCCUAAGGCGAGGCCGAAAGGCGUAGUCGAUGGGAAACAGGUUAAUAUUCCUGUACUUGGUGUUACUGCGAAGGGGGGACGGAGAAGGCUAUGUUGGCCGGGCGACGGUUGUCCCGGUUUAAGCGUGUAGGCUGGUUUUCCAGGCAAAUCCGGAAAAUCAAGGCUGAGGCGUGAUGACGAGGCACUACGGUGCUGAAGCAACAAAUGCCCUGCUUCCAGGAAAAGCCUCUAAGCAUCAGGUAACAUCAAAUCGUACCCCAAACCGACACAGGUGGUCAGGUAGAGAAUACCAAGGCGCUUGAGAGAACUCGGGUGAAGGAACUAGGCAAAAUGGUGCCGUAACUUCGGGAGAAGGCACGCUGAUAUGUAGGUGAAGCGACUUGCUCGUGGAGCUGAAAUCAGUCGAAGAUACCAGCUGGCUGCAACUGUUUAUUAAAAACACAGCACUGUGCAAACACGAAAGUGGACGUAUACGGUGUGACGCCUGCCCGGUGCCGGAAGGUUAAUUGAUGGGGUUAGCGGUAACGCGAAGCUCUUGAUCGAAGCCCCGGUAAACGGCGGCCGUAACUAUAACGGUCCUAAGGUAGCGAAAUUCCUUGUCGGGUAAGUUCCGACCUGCACGAAUGGCGUAAUGAUGGCCAGGCUGUCUCCACCCGAGACUCAGUGAAAUUGAACUCGCUGUGAAGAUGCAGUGUACCCGCGGCAAGACGGAAAGACCCCGUGAACCUUUACUAUAGCUUGACACUGAACAUUGAGCCUUGAUGUGUAGGAUAGGUGGGAGGCUUUGAAGUGUGGACGCCAGUCUGCAUGGAGCCGGCCUUGAAAUACCACCCUUUAAUGUUUGAUGUUCUAACGUUGGCCCCUGAUCGGGGUUGCGGACAGUGUCUGGUGGGUAGUUUGACUGGGGCGGUCUCCUCCUAAAGAGUAACGGAGGAGCACGAAGGUUGGCUAAUCCUGGUCGGACAUCAGGAGGUUAGUGCAAUGGCAUAAGCCAGCUUGACUGCGAGCGUGACGGCGCGAGCAGGUGCGAAAGCAGGUCAUAGUGAUCCGGUGGUUCUGAAUGGAAGGGCCAUCGCUCAACGGAUAAAAGGUACUCCGGGGAUAACAGGCUGAUACCGCCCAAGAGUUCAUAUCGACGGCGGUGUUUGGCACCUCGAUGUCGGCUCAUCACAUCCUGGGGCUGAAGUAGGUCCCAAGGGUAUGGCUGUUCGCCAUUUAAAGUGGUACGCGAGCUGGGUUUAGAACGUCGUGAGACAGUUCGGUCCCUAUCUGCCGUGGGCGCUGGAGAACUGAGGGGGGCUGCUCCUAGUACGAGAGGACCGGAGUGGACGCAUCACUGGUGUUCGGGUUGUCAUGCCAAUGGCACUGCCCGGUAGCUAAAUGCGGAAGAGAUAAGUGCUGAAAGCAUCUAAGCACGAAACUUGCCCCGAGAUGAGUUCUCCCUGACUCCUUGAGAGUCCUGAAGGAACGUUGAAGACGACGACGUUGAUAGGCCGGGUGUGUAAGCGCAGCGAUGCGUUGAGCUAACCGGUACUAAUGAACCGUGAGGCUUAACCUU